AUUGAACGCUGGCGGCCGGCCUAACACAUGCAAGUCGAACGAGUGGCGGACGGGUGAGUAAUGUCUGGGAAACUGCCUGAUGGAGGGGGAUAACUACUGGCAACGGUAGCUAAUACCGCAUACCCUCAGAUGUGCCCAGAUGGGAUUAGCUUGUUGGUGGGGUAACGGCUCCCCAAGGCGACGAUCCCUAGCUGGUCUGAGAGGAUGACCAGCCACACUGGAACUGAGACACGGUCCAAACUCCUACGGGAGGCAGCAGUGGGAAAUGUUGCACAGUGGGCGCAAGCCGGAUGCAGCCAUGCCGCGUGGAUAAAGAAGGCCUUCGGGUUGAAAAGUACUUUCAGCGGGGAGGCGUUACCCGCAGAAGAAGCACCGGCUAACUCCGUGCCAGCAGCCGCGGUAACAC
rnacentral:rRNA from 1 species